AUGGGACUCUGCUCCCAAGGUAGAUGUUGCAGUUGUAAGGUUGGCUAAAUGCACUACUCUUCCUGUAGACACUGCUGGUUCCUAUAAAGACCCUAUGAACAGGAAGAUGAAAGUUAAUCUGUCAAGAGCAUAUGUCACAGCAGGUACUGGACUUCAUACCACAGUAGCUCUAACAUCGGUAACAUGAGCAUUAAAGCUGUGGAUUGAUAACCUAGAG